GACGAACGCUGGCGGCGUGCUUAACACAUGCAAGUCGAACGGAAAGGCCUUUUCGGUGGUACUCGAGUGGCGCACGGGUGAGUAACACGUGGGUGAUCUGCCCUGCACUCUGGGAUAAGCCUGGGAAACUGGGUCUAAUACCGGAUAGGACCGCACUUUAGUGUGUGUGGUGGAAAGUUUUUUCGGUGUAGGAUGAGCCCGCGGCCUAUCAGCUUGUUGGUGGGGUAAUGGCCUACCAAGGCGGCGACGGGUAGCCGGACUGAGAGGUUGGUCGGCCACAUUGGGACUGAGAUACGGCCCAGACUCCUACGGGAGGCAGCAGUGGGGAAUAUUGCACAAUGGGCGCAAGCCUGAUGCAGCGACGCCGCGUGGGGGAUGACGGCCUUCGGGUUGUAAACUACUUUCGCCAGGGACGAAGCGUUUUGUGACGGUACCUGGAGAAGAAGCACCGGCUAACUACGU
rnacentral:rRNA from 1 species